rnacentral:rRNA from 1 species
GCCUACGGGGGGCAGCAGUAGGGAAUCUUCCACAAUGGGCGAAAGCCUGAUGGAGCAACGCCGCGUGGGUGAAGAAGGUCUUCGGAUCGUAAAACCCUGUUGUUAGAGAAGAAAGUGCGUGAGAGUAACUGUUCACAUUUCGACGGUAUCUAACCAGAAAGCCACGGCUAACUACGUGCCAGCAGCCGCGGUAAUACGUAGGUGGCAAGCGUUAUCCGGAUUUAUUGGGCGUAAAGAGAACGCAAGCGGUCUUUUAAGUCUGAUGUGAAAGCCUUCGGCUUAACCGGAGUAGUGCAUUGGAAACU